GCCUCCCGGGCGGAGGUGGGCGCGCUGGAGCGCGGGAAGGGGCCGCGGCGGGCCCGGCCGGCAGCCUCGUUCCUCCCCCUGCGGCACGGCCUUCCUCGCCGCGGUUGUCUCCAGCCCGGGUGCGGAGACCGUGGAGUCCGGCAACAGCAAGAACCAGUUCACGGAGGGAGAAAGUGACAUACCUGUAAAUCCUCUUUGAAAAUUAAAUAUGAAGUGGCUAUGCAAAAUUGAAUUAUAUGAUGAAAACAUACGUCGCCUUUACAACGAAAUGAAAUGGUAAUGAUUAAUUGUAAUACUAAAUGUCUCCGUUGAAAAAAGUUAAGAGGACCUACACAAGAUAAUUACAUUUUUUUUUUCCUCAACAUUUCUGAGUGGCAAGUAGGAAACUUCAGGAAAUCUACAAGAUUCUGAUAAGAGACAAAUUUCAGAUACUCAGUUCUUCCACAGUUCUUUUGGUGGAAAAGAUAAGUUACGAGAGAGCACAAGCAGGAGGAACAGCAGGCAGUGGGAGAGGGAGAAGCAGGCUCCUGGCAGAGCAGAGAACCCCAUGUGGGGCUACGUCCCAGGACCCUGAGAUCAUGACCUGAGCCGAAGGCAGAUGCUCAACCACUGAGCCACCAAGACGUCCCAGCAUGACUGGUAUUAUAUAAAAUUGAAUUAUAUAAUAUUAGAAAGGAAUUGAGGUUUUUACAGUAUAAUGCCAUAGCAUCUAAUAACAUCCAUUCCUGCAGGUCUUAC